AUUGAACGCUGGCGGCAUGCUUUACACAUGCAAGUCGAACGGUAACAGGCCUUCGGGUGCUGACGAGUGGCGAACGGGUGAGUAAUGCAUCGGAACGUGCCCAGAGGUGGGGGAUAACGCAGCGAAAGCUGUGCUAAUACCGCAUGUGAUCUGAGGAUGAAAGCGGGGGACCAGGCAGCAAUGUUUGGCCUCGCGCCUUUGGAGCGGCCGAUGUCAGAUUAGGUAGUUGGCGGGGUAAAGGCCUACCAAGCCGACGAUCUGUAGCUGGUCUGAGAGGACGACCAGCCACACUGGGGCUGAGACACGGCCCAGACUCCUACGGGAGGCAGCAGUGGGGAAUUUUGGACAAUGGGCGCAAGCCUGAUCCAGCAAUGCCGCGUGCGGGAAGAAGGCCUUCGGGUUGUAAACCGCUUUUGUACGGAACGAAAAGGCUCUGGCUAAUACCUGGGGCUGAUGACGGUACCGUAAGAAUAAGCACCGGCUAACUACGU
rnacentral:rRNA from 1 species